ACACAACAAAAGAAGGAAUAGGCUGGAGCAUCAAAGACUUAAUGAUCUUGUAUAUGUGCAAUAUAAUUUGCGUCUAAAAAACAGGGACAAAUAUAAAAAAAGGUCUUAUGAUCCUGUUGAUUAUGAAUGCAUUGAUAAGACUGAAUUUUGGAUUGUUGAGGAUGAGGAGGAUAAUACUUUUAUGGACUAUGAUGAUUUAGAGAGAAUGCUUUAUGACAAUAUAGAAGAUCUAACAAUUGAUACAAGCGACCAACAUUUACGAAGUGAUGACAAUGUCAUUGUUGAUCGUGAGGAAAAUGAGGACAUUGACUUUACAUCGUUUGAUGUUGGUGAAAACGAGCAACUCAAUAUUGGCGAUACAAGUGACAAUGAUGAUGCUAGGGCUACAACUUGAUUUGGAUAUGAUGUUGGUCACUAGAUUGUGAAUUGUUGUACUACUUUUGGUUGUGGAAUUGCACUACUUCGUUUUUGGAUUGUACUACUUUUUUGAACUUGAACUUGUUUUUGGAUUUAUACUAUUGUGGUGAACUUGAACUUGAACUUGAUUUGUAGUUUUGUACUACUUAAGAUCUUAUUAUUUGUUAUGUUAAGAGUUAAGACUUAAGACUAGAGGACUUAUGAAUGAUUGUAAAUUUUUCAAUUAAUGCAUGUUAUUGAUGUA